CCUAAAGGGCAAAAAGUUAUGCCACGCCCCGCGUCCUGGUUUCUGUUUUUCUGCUUGUGUUUUCCUUUGCUUAUGGAGCCGAAUCGUUUCCGGUACAACAGACUUUGACAGUUACUAUCUCAGCUGACAGUGGACCAUCCAAGUAUCUGAAUUCAGACCAUCUGCCACAGCAGUUGAUAUUACUGGGACAAUGAACUGAAAGCUCUUUUUGUCCACAUGACUGUUGACAAGAUACACAAAAUAUUCGAUCUAUUGCUAGAAAUGUACUUUCAGCCACAAACCUAUGAAACAUUAUGAAGCAUUUACAUUUGGAAAGACCACACAAGGACCAAAUGAAACAUUAGGCAUAUGUUCCACAAGGCUCAAGUUUUGUUUUUUUUUUUGUCAAGGAGCUGUUAUAUGAUAGAUAUUUAUUCAUAAAUCAAAACACAUAUUAUCUAGAACUGUCACUCAGGAAAGGUCGGAUGAAACUUUUAGAAGAUCAAGCAUGAGCAUCAGAGAAUUGUGUACCAGGAAAAGAAAAGACAUUUCAGUGAUUAAAAUAUUGACUGAAUGUGCAAAUGUAAAUAUGCACACACAUAUGCAUACAUGACAACUGUUCAAUAAAGCAUGUAUGAAUUGUAAAAA